UUCUAGCCCUAAUGGAAGCGGCAUCCUUUUGUGGCGGGGUUCGCCACAAAAGAUAUAGCGGACAGCAGGAAAUAGC
rnacentral:sRNA from 2 species